rnacentral:misc_RNA from 1 species
UCUCCGUAGGUGAACCUGCGGAGGGAUCAUUACAGAGUUCUCGCCCUCACGGGUAGAUCUCCCACCCACUGUUAUCGUUACUGUCGUUUCUUUGGCGGGCCGCCGGGUCCCCGGCCGCCGGCGCCUAGCUGCCGGCGCGCGCCCGCCAGAGGCCUCCAAACUCUGAAUGUUAGUGUCGUCUGAGUACUAUAUAAUAGUUAAAACUUUCAACAACGGAUCUCUUGGUUCUG